rnacentral:rRNA from 1 species
GGACUACAGGGGUAUCUAAUCCUGUUUGCUCCCCACGCUUUCGCACCUGAGCGUCAGUAUGAAGCCAGAAAGCCGCCUUCGCCACUGGUGUUCCUUCCGAUCUCUACGCAUUUCACCGCUACACCGGAAAUUCCGCCUUCCUCUCUUCUACUCGAGUCACCCCGUUUCAAAUGCAAUUCCCAGGUUAAGCCCGGGGCUUUCACAUCUGACGUAGGUGACCGCCUACGUGCGCUUUACGCCCAAUAAUUCCGAUUAACGCUCGCACCCUCUGUAUUACCGCGGCGGCUGGCAC